rnacentral:rRNA from 1 species
CACCAUCCGGUAAGGCUAAAUACUCCUGAGAGACCGAUAGUGAACCAGUACCGUGAGGGAAAGGUGAAAAGAACCGUGAAUAACGGAGUGAAAUAGAUCCUGAAACCAUACGCUUACAAGCGGUCGGAGCCCAUAUGGGUGACGGCGUGCCUUUUGCAUAAUGAGCCUACGAGUUACUUUUACUGGCAAGGUUAAGUCCUUAAGGGACGGAGCCGUAGCGAAAGCGAGUCUUAAUAGGGCGUUUUAGUCAGUAGUAGUAGACGCGAAACCGUGCGAUCU